rnacentral:sRNA from 1 species
AUACAGGUAUUUUUAUAAAACUUUCAUACUUAGACUAAAUCUUAGUCUUUUGAUUUUUAUUCAGUUUAUUUGAACUGUGGUUUGCUUCAUUAAUACUAGUAAUGUUUUUUCUUUAAAGAUAUCCUAGCUCUACUUCUAACUGAUGUGCUGCUCUUUUUACAAGAAAAAGACCAGAAAUACAUCUUUGCAGCCGUUGAUCAGAAGCCAUCAGUUAUUUCCCUUCAAAAGCUUAUUGCUAGAGAAGUUGCUAAUGAGGAGAGAGGAAUGUUUCUGAUCAGUGCUUCAUCUGCUGGUCCUGAGAUGUAUGAAAUUCACACCAAUUCCAAGGAGGAACGCAAUAACUGGAUGAGACGGAUCCAGCAGGCUGUAGAAAGUUGUCCUGAAGAAAAAGGGGGAAGGACAAGUGAAUCUGAUGAAGACAAGAGGAAAGCUGAAGCCAGAGUGGCCAAAAUUCAGCAAUGUCAAGGUACAGUGCAGGCAUUUCUGGCUCCCUGGUCGUGGUGUUCUCCUGGGUGUUGGGAAAGCCCGAGUGUCAUGAA